AAUCAAAAACGAAAAAUUCUUCGAACUUUCUCUUGGACGUUAAAAAAGAUGAAGCUAAACUCCCACCACCACCAAAUCCACGGUGGCUUCACUUACAAACCACCGCCACAUCAUCAACUGUACAUACACAGCUCAUCUUCGCCGGAGCCGCGGAUUCCUUCGAAACGCAACUUUACUCUCUCACUCCGUUGCGCUUCACAAACUCCUCAAACUGCAACAAGACGCCGCGUUUUACUAACUCCACUCAUCGCUCUCGGCGCCUCCGUCCUCCUCCAAUCUUCCUCCUCAUCCAAGGCGGAAGACGCCACCAAACCUCCUACUCCUCCCCCUUCGCCUACUCCUCCUCCGUCUCCUCCUUCUUCGCCGCCUCCGCCGGCGACGGUGGAGGUAAACUCAAGAAUAUACGAUGCGACGGCGAUAGGAGAGCCGAUGGCGGCAGGUAAAGACAAGAGAAAAGUAUGGGAGAAGCUAAUGAAUGCGAGGAUAGUGUAUUUAGGAGAAGCCGAACAAGUACCUGUAAAAGAUGAUAAAGAAUUAGAGCUUGAAAUUGUUAAAAAUUUGACAAAACGCUGCGUUGAAAGUCAGAAAUCUAUUUCUUUAGCUAUGGAAAUGUUUCCUUCUGACUUACAAUCUCAGCUGAAUCAAUUUAUUGAUGGAAGGAUAGAUGGAGAAACCUUGAAGUCUUAUUUGACACAUUGGCCAGUUCAAGGGUGGCAAGAGUAUGAGCCUCUUUUGAAUUUUUGCCGUGAUAAUGGAGUUAGAAUUGUAGCUUGUGGUACUCCACUUGAGAUCAUACGGACAGUCCAAGCUGAAGGUAUUCGUGGGCUCUCAAAGGCUAAUCGUAAACUUUACACUCCCCCAGCUGGUUCCGGCUUCAUCUCAGGGUUUAGUUCUAUUUCACGUAGGCCAAUUGACAUGAAUUAUCCAACGCAAUCAGCUCCUUUUGGGACAAGCUCAUAUUUAUCUGCUCAAGCAAGAGUAGUCGAGGAUUAUUCCAUGUCACAAAUUAUUUUAAAAGCAGUGGCAGAUGCAGGUGCUACUGGUAUGCUUGUAGUGCUGACAGGUGCAAGCCAUGUUAUGUAUGGAUCAAGAGGCACAGGGCUUCCAGCAAGAAUUUCAAAAAAGAUGCAAAAGAAGAACCAAGUAGUUAUAUUACUUGAUCCUGAAAGGCAAUUCAUGCGAAGAGAGGGGGAAGUUCCUGUUGCUGAUUUUUUGUGGUAUUCUGCUGCCAGACCUUGCAGCAGAAACUGUUUUGAUCGUGCUGAAAUUGCUCGAGUAAUGAAUGCAGCUGGUCGGAGGCGCGAUGCCUUACCCCAGGACCUUCAAGAAGGACUUGAUCUUGGAUUAGUAUCACCAGAGGUACUGCAGAAUUUCUUUGACCUAGACCAGUAUCCUCUUCUAAAGGAACUAGCUCAACGUUUUCAGGGAUUCAGGGAAAGACUAUUGGCAGAUCCCAAAUUCUUGCACAGAUUAGCUAUUGAAGAAUCCAUAUCUAUAACGACUACUCUCUUAGCACAGUAUGAGAGACGUAAAGAAAACUUUUUUGAAGAGCUUGACUAUGUAAUUACAGACUCUGUCAGGGGAAUAGUGGUUGAUUUUUUCACUGUCUGGCUUCCUGCUCCAACUCUUUCGUUCCUAUCAUAUGCUGUCGACACAAAUGCGCCUGACAACAUUGAUGCUUUAAAGGGUCUCCUUGGCUCCAUACCUGACAAUGCAUUUCAAAAGACUCUUCCUGGGAAGGACUGGAAUCUCAGUCACAGAGUUGCAUCUGUGCUUAUCGGUGGCCUUAAACUUUCUAGUGUUGGGUUUAUCUCCAGCAUUGCUGCUGUGGCUGCUUCAAAUUCUUUGUAUGCAAUUCGCAAACUCAUCAAUCCAGCACUAGUUACUAAUCAACAAACUAAAAGAUCACCAAUACUUAAAACAGCACUGGUUUAUAGUGGCUUCCUUGGAACAUCAGCAAAUCUGCGCUACCAGAUUAUUGCUGGACUAAUCGAGCAUCGGAUUUCUGAUGAAUUUGCUUCCCAAACACUCCUUGUAAAUAUGAUAUCAUUUAUUGUUCGGACAAUAAACUCCUACUGGGGGACCCAGCAAUGGAUCGACCUCGCACGGUUUUCAGGACUGCAAAGUAAGAAGGAUAAUUCAUCUUCUGAUGAGAUACUGAUUACCACUACUAGUGUUACAGAAGGAUCAAAUACUUCAGAGAAUGCCAGUAUGGAUGAAAUCAACAAUCAAUAAGUAAUUCUAAGAAUUGGCAUACUAUUCGAUAUCUCGUUGAGCAUUGUUUCAAUCCUUGGUCAGGUUUUACUAAUGGCUUUCAAUCAAUCACAUCAAGCGAGUGAGUCUGAUCUAGAAAUCCUAAUGACGUGUUGGCUCUGAGGCAUUCAUCUUUUUACAAGUACCAAUUAUAAGUUCUGCUGUGCUAAUGUCCCAAGAUUUCAUCUGACUUGUAUACCAAUAUAUGCGUAAUGGGUUGCCAUUUAUUUAUGGAUAAAUAUAGAGAAGAAUUGAUUAGAAUGGCGUUGGUGCUGAACUUGGUUUUACUCCUAUUUAUGCUAUUUUUCAUCCAAUUGUUAGUAUCUUGGGUUGCAGCUUUUGUAAUGGUUAUGAAGCACAAGCAAAUUGAGGCAAUUCG